GGAAAUUCAAUUUCACAAAGAAAUAUGAAUCCAAACUCAAUUGGGGAAGAAAAACAUCAAUACAGGAGUAAAAGAGAUAUAUCUUAUGCCACCAGUUACUGGGUAGGAAGAUAAUAUACUCGGACAGAGGGACAUCCAUUACUGGUUAAGAUAAACAUAUCAAGGAUGACUCGCUGAGGAAAAUAAGGAAUAUUCAUUACCGAAAACAAGGAAUAUUCAAAUAGGAAUUACAACUACGUUUUUACCAAGCAG
rnacentral:lncRNA from 1 species